rnacentral:sRNA from 1 species
UCUGCUUGCGUCACCUCGGGGACAUCGG